ensembl:lncRNA
AUGAGGGACCCACAGCUGCCUGCUGCCUCACACAAUAAGCAGGUGUAUUAUUUUAUUUUAUUUAUUUAUUGGCUGGUGCUGAAAAGUGGUCUUCUAGCAAUAAGAGUUCCAGAAAUCUUCCUCAUAUCUGAACAAAAAACCCCAAAACAAAUAAAAAAGAAAUUAUUAUUUCUAGAAGUUGGGAAAUCAUAAUUACGGCAGCUAAAACAUGAAAAGUGGCUUAUUUCAAUAUAAUGAAAGCAAUUACUCAGAAUGAACAAACUCUGAAAAUUUAAAAAAAAAUGACACUAAAGAAGAAGUUCAGUUUAAUAGAAAAUGAAAAGAGGUAAGAGCUCAAGAAUAGAAAUUGAAGAUGCUUUAAAUCCUAUUUAACUUUUAUUUGAACUUAACUGUUUUUCCUCUAUAAACCUCAGACAAUAAUAGAGCCACAUAUACACCCACAGACAAUUCUUCGUUGCAGUUCAAUGAGGUGCUGGAAACAUUCUUCAGUGAGUUUGAUUCAUAUUGACAUGAUAGAUUUUAUGUGGCUGCACAUCCUGAAUCUCCUGUUGCUCUGUUUGAUUGAGAUGUUUUGGCUGUGGAGGCCAUUUCAAACUGCUUCACUGAACUCAUUGUCAUGUUCAAGAAACCAGUUUGAGAUGAUUUGACCUCUGUGACAUGGUGUGUUAUCCUGCAGGAAGUAGACUCCAGGAGAUGGGUACAGUGUGGUCAUGAAGACAUCGAGAUGGUCAGAAACAACACCAAGCUGUGGCAUUUAAACAGUGCAACACCAGCCUAAACUGGUGCUACACGAUGCAAGGGACCCACACUUUUGUGUUUUUUACACCAAAUUGUGACUCAACAACGUGAACGCCACAGCAGAAAUACAGACUUAGUCCAGACAAUGUUUUUUUUUUUUUUUUCAGAUCAUCUAUUGUUCAUUAUUUUAGCUGAUCGGAGUGGUGCCUGGUGUGGUCUUCUGCCUCUGUAGCCCAUGUGCUUCACGGUUUGAUGUGUUGUACAAUCAGAGACGAUCUUCUGCAUACCCUGGUUGUAAUGAGUGGUUGUUUGAGUUACUCUUGCCUUCUUAUUUGCUUGAAGCAGUCUGGCCGUUCUCCCCUGUCACCAAAAAAGCUUUUUACCCAGAGAAUGGCCGCUCAUUAGAUAUUUUCUGUUUUUUGGACCAUUCUCUAAAAACCCUACAGGUAAAUGUGAAGGAAAAUCCCAGCAGAUCAGCAGUUUCUGAAACACUCAGACCAGCCCACAACAACUCUACAUUCAAAGUAACAUUUUCACCACAAUUCUGUUACUCUGAUUCAACCCUAGUAAGUCAUCUUGACCAUGUCUACAUGCCUAAAUGCAAUUAGUUUCAGCCAUGCUCAGCUGAUUACAUUUAGGUUAAGGAGCAGCUAAACAGGUGUACCUAACAGAGUGGCCAGUCAUUGUAUUUGUUUUAACAAAACAUCUCAGAUAUACAAUACAAUGCAAAAGUUUUAGGCAGCUAAGAAAAAAUGCUGUAAACAAAGAAUGCUUUGAGAAACAUAAAUGAUUGUUUAUUGGGCCCAAAUGUAUUCUGGAGCAGAACAACGACCCCAAACAUACAGCUAAAGUCAUUUGGAACUAUCUUCAGCAUAAAGAAGAACAAGAAGUUGUGAUGGCAUGGAGUCCGCAGAGCCCUGAUCUCAACAUCAUCGAGUGUGUCUGGGAUUACACGAGGAGACAGAAGGAUGUGAGGAUGCCUACAUCCACAGAAGAUCUGUGGUUAGUUCUCCAAGAUGUUCGGAACAACCUACCAGCCGAGUUCCUUCAAAAACUGUGUGCAAGUGUAGAACUGAUGCUGUU